ensembl:lncRNA
ACCUUCUUCUGCAGUAUGCAGUGGAAGAUGAAGAUGAACAUGCCCUGCAGGGAGUUGAAGAUGGUGAAGAGGUAGGCCAUGAUGACGGUGCUCUCGUUGAUGUACAUCAGGCCGAAGGCCCAGGUCAGGCCCAGCAGACACAGCAGGGCUAUGGCCCCGAUCACCCAGGACCUGGAGGAGGAGACGCUUCAGUGUCCAACAAUACAGAAGCACUUUGUAACACGAGUCUUUUCUCUUUUUACUGUCCUGGAUCAGAAAAGCUGCUCAGCACGUGGGAUCACGAGGCGGGAGAAAGCGGGUUUGCCAGAGAUAAUUUGUGGUGCCAACACCGCGUGAGUGGAAGGGGGGAAAAACAGCGGGAGGUUUUUCUCUAAAAUAAUUCAAACUAACAAGAAAAAAGGGUGAAAUAAAAGACAGAAAGCGCACUGAUUUGAGAGAAAGAGGCCGGAUGACGUCAGCGCAGAGAACGCACGUCGCGCGGGACACCCUCCAAGUUACUGCGACCUCCGGCCCCUCGCAGGGUUGAAAGACGCUUUCGCAGACCAAAGUGGGUGCUGGAGUCUGUUAAUGCAACGGUGACCAACACUUUAAUGGAACGGACUUUAAUACGAGUUUUCAAGGCCGCAAACCUGCGUUUCUAACAAAGCCGAAUAUGCAGGAGUCAUUAGGGCCAAAUGUCAGAGGGAUGUGGUCGUGUUGAGGCAUGUGUAUGAAUCGUAAGUCCCUGUCUGAGCGUGUGCGUGUGCAUGUGUGUGCGUGUGCCUGUGGUCUCCACUGGGCAGUAAGUAGAGGGCCAUUACAGCCAUUACAAAUGACAUUUCCCACUAAAGGUCACCGUUUUCUGGUCUGCCGAGGCCGCGAUGAUGGCUGUUAAUUUGAUUGGCUGACUGGACAGCGAUCACCUCUCGUGGAGGAGAGGGAGGCGCAGCGAGGGAGGAGGGAGGAGGGGGGAGGAGAGGGAGGCGCAGCGAGGGAGGAGGGAGGAGGGGGGAGGAGAGGGAGGCGCAGCGAGGGAGGAGCAGGGGGGAGGAGGGGGGAGGAGUGGGAGGCGCAGCGAGGGAGGAGGGCGGGGGGGUGUUGGUGGGGCGAGGUUGAGGUAUUAGAAGAGUUAGCAGGAAGGAAGAGAGAGAGGAGAGUAAGUGAGGUGAUUGAUUGGAUGUCGCCCUCUGUGGCACCGCUCAGGCGAGACAGAACCUCCAAUAAAGCUCGUCUGACGACCCUCUUCGAUAAAGGGUACACUCAUCCCGCCCCCCCACACCGAGCAGCGUCGUCUCUCCCGGCUUCCGACCUUGCGUCCUCACGUCGCGCCGGUGUAAUAUUUCAAUAGAGCAUCGGGGGGUUUACGGGUCAGACGGGGCUCACAAAUCACACGUCAACACGUAAUCCACUUCACGAGGCAGGUUAACGGUUAAUUUAGGGAUAUGCACGGACUCUGGGAAGAUUCUACGGGCAAACACCAGGACAAGCGAAGCCGAAACGUCCCGGAGGAGACGGAGGACAUGGUGAUUGGGGAGAGACCUUACCGCAGCCCAACAAAGACAACUCAUGGUGGCUUCACGGGGGAAACAAAAGAAAGAAAGACAGAAAAUAAUAAGAGAAAAAUGGACGCAAUGAUGAUGAUGAUUAAUACAAAAAUGAACCACAUAAGACAAGACUAAUGGAGUAAAGUAGAUUCAAAUCUAUUCAGCCUUUUUUUUGCGCUCAAAAAGAAAAACGUAAGCCAUUAAACCGCGAAGAAGUGAAAUGCGUCAUGAUCUGAUUCUUUGAUUUUCCGUCUUUCAUCAGGGCCUUUUUGAUUGAGGCCCCCUGAACUCGCACGGAAGCGAAGAUCAAAUGGUUUUAACAAACUUACUUUCCACUUGGAGGCCCGACUCAAAAGUGCCGUCUUGAAAUAUACAUUGGCAGUGAUAUUUAAAAGAUGAAUCAAACGGUACGCCGCUCCGUGAUUUGCAUGACAAAUACCGAGCUGUGCCUCGGUCGGGCGUCCGGCUAAAGGCCGGCACGCCGUUUGAAUUAGACGGGGCCUGGAACAAGACAUAACACAGUCCUGAUUGGUUAGCUUAGCAGACACAGUUCGGGGGAAAUGAAGUCAUGUUCCAUGACUGGGAAUAAUAACGUGAUCGAUACGAUGAGGAGCAUCGUGAAGUGAUGGAAGAGUCUGCUUCAUGUUGCAGCUGACAUACCAUGAGAAGAAAGGACAACGUUUAAAGGAGUAGCACGACGCUUGGGAGAAGCUCUGCCUUGCGUCCGUGCUGAGGUUUGAUGAGAGGAUGGAUUAGCAUGAAGACUGGAAACAGCUGUUCCAGUUGUGAUUAAAGUUAACACGAUCUAAAGCUCACUAAUAACAUGUUCUAUCUUUGGCUCAAAAUCUGAAGUGUAAAAACAAUAAUUUGCUAUUUUACAUUUUGUUUUCUCUCUCAGGGCAAACCAUCUGUCACACAUCCACUGCUUCUCUUUUUCCAAAUAUUUGGUUACUGUGCAGAUAAAGGAGUCGAUGAGAAAAUGACCGUCGCUAGAAGUGUUGUGCAUGUUCUCAUCUUUCAACUUACUGCGUGUUUCCACCUCAUGAAAGCUUUGUGGCGUCUAACUUGCCCCCCCCCCUUUUUCUUCACUGCUUUCAUCAAACAAGAUGGCAACGUGCAACCAAUGGGUGACUGCUUUUAUAAAGUGAUUGAUUCUGACCAGUUUGGCUGGCUGUUUUUAAACUCGUGCAGUGUCUAUUAGCCAACACGCUGCUCGCUCUCCACCUGCGUAUUCAACAAAAAGGCAUUUGAUUCCUCUCUCUCUUCUCAUUUAAGUCUCGGCAAGAAAGCAUAGAAAAAGUUUCCCAAAAGCGAAUUAUUCCCUGAAUUUCCACAUACACACAAUUGUGUAUAAUCAGAACUGCACGCACACAGCACGUGGACUUACUUGAUGUUGUCCAGACAUCCAGAGUCUGGUUUGAGAAUGGCCGUGUGAUGGAACAUCUUAUAGAGAGCGAUGCCGAGGAAGAUUACAUUCAGCUGAAACGCACAUGCACACAAGUUAAUACUGCAGCAACACGCCUAAUUAAAGACACAC